rnacentral:rRNA from 1 species
GUCUUCUUGAUAAAAUAGGAAGUCUGACCUGCCCAGUGAAAAAUAUUUUAACGGCCGCGGUAUAUUGACCGUGCAAAGGUAGCAUAAUCAUUAGUCUUUUAAUAGAGGGCUGGAAUGAAGGGUUUAACGAAGUACUUACUGUCUCAUUUAAUUUGAUAUUAAAAUUUACUUUUUCAGUCAAAAAGCUGAAAUAUUAUUGGAAGACGAGAAGACCCUAUAGAGCUUUAUAUUUAAUUAUCUAAUAAAUUUUUGAUAUAAUUAUUAUUUAUUAUUUAAUAAAAUAUUUUGUUGGGGUGACAAAAAUAUAUAAUUAACUUUUUUAUUUAUAUAACAUUGAUAUAUGAGAAAUAGAUCCAGUUUUACUGAUUAUUAGAAUAAGUUACCUUAGGGAUAACAGCGUAAUCUUCCUUUAGAGUUCAUAUUCACAGGGAGGCUUGCGACCUCGAUGUUGGAUUAAGAUUAUAAUUAGGUGUAGCCGCUUAAAAAAUAGGUCUGUUCGACCUUUAAAUUCUU